GUAGCGCCUGCUGCAGUUCUCUGUACACUGUAAAUGUAUUUCAUGCAGUUAAGUGUAAGUUGAUUUUAUUUUAUUUGAGAUUUAAUGCUAAUCAUAAUCCAAGGAAUACACUUGAUUUCUUAAUAGAGAGCACCAGGGGCCCGCCAGCUUUGUUCUUUGAUGAAAGAAGGGUGGGAAAUCUUUUUAAAAUGAGUAAGAUUAAUAAAAGUCCAGGUCCUGAUAAUAUAUGUGGCCAGGUGCUUAGAACAUGCGCUGAGCAAUUAUGCAGUAUUUUUUAUUAUAUCUUUCUUUUAUCUCUUCAGCAACAGAAGGUUCCAGAGGUAUGGAAAAAAUCAAUUAUUUCUCCAGUUGCUAAGACCACAAAACCUACGUCAUUAAAUGAUUUUAGGCCUGUCGCUUUAACAUCCUUAGUGAUGAAAUCCUUUGAAAAACUUGUCAGGAAGGAGAUCCUGCAGCAAGUAGAGAAGCUUAUAGAUCCACUACAAUUUGCAUACAGGCCUUGUAGAGGUGUGGAUGAUGCAGUGGUCACUCUGUUGAACUACCUUUAUCACCAUCUUGAUGGCGCCAAAGCUCAUGCUCGGCUCUUAUUUAUUGAUUUUUCUUCAGCUUUUAAUACUAUCCAGCCACAUCUUUUAGUUGAUAAGCUUCUUAACCAGUUUAAACUUGAUUUUAAUCUCGUUGGUUGGAUUUUAGACUUUUUAACUGACAGAUUUCAGUGUGUGAGAGUAAACGGCUGUUUUUCCAAACAGCUGAACUCUUCUACUGGCUCGCCACAAGGUUGUUGUCUCUCUCCUCUACUGUAUAUUUUGUACACUAAUGACUGUCGCAGUACACAGGCCAACAGGCAUUUCAUUAAAUAUGCAGAUGACACAGUCAUUGUAAGCCUCCUUCAUGGUGAAGAGGAUUCCCAUGGGCCUGUUGUGGAUGAGUUUGUUUCGUGGUGUGAUCAGUCAUUCUUAAUGAUUAACACCUUAAAAACCAAGGACAUGGUUAUUGACUUCAGGAAGACAUCGCCCCAUCCUGCGCUAACAGUGGUAAAUGGUGCAGCCAUUGAACUGGUGGACAGUUAUAAGUAUUUGGGGGUUGUUCUUGAUAAGGCUCUGUCCUUUGAUUCACAUCUUGCUGCUACAGUGAAAAAGGUCCAACAAAGAUUGUACUUUUUAAGGAGGUUGAGAGGUUUUAAUGUUUCAUCUGAAAUGAUGACUCUUUUUUAUAAAAGUUUUAUUGAAUCUGUUUUAACUUUCUGUAUCAUUGCCUGGUACGGUAAUAUGUCCCUGAAUAAUAAGACCAGACUUAACAACCUGGUUAAAGUGGCUGGCAAGAUUUCAGGGAGGCCUCAGGUCCAGCUUGUGGAUUUUUAUAACAGGCAGGUGCUGAGGAAGGCAAACUCUGUCCUGUUGUGUUCAGAUCAUCCUCUCUUUAAUGAUUUUCAACUGCUUCCAUCAGGUCGUCGUUAUAAAGUGCCUGCAGUGAAGACAAAGAGACAUAGACUGUCUUUUGUACCUAGUGCUAUUAUCACAGUUAAUAACACUAAACCAUGAGUGUUGUUGCCAUUGCACAUUGCACUUUUUUUGAUGAAAAAUCUAGGUUGUUUUAUCAGGCUUAUAUUAUAUUAUUUUGGUGAGUGUAUGUGAUGUGUUGGUUGUCUGUUUGUUUGUUUGUAUGGACAUACUGCAAAUCAAUUUCCCGUUAGGGACAAUAAAGUUACCAUUGACCAUUGUGUACAUGUUGUUUGAGUAAAUCUUCUCAGUCAGUAAACACCAGUUUUAUCAUUAUCUUGAUUAAACAUACAUAAUGAAUACAUCCUUAUAUCUGAACAGAGAGAUAUAACAUGCACUAAAUUCAAAUUCACUGAGCCAGCCACUUGUUUGCAUGAGAUCUGAGACACUGGAAGCAGCAAAAAAGCUUGUAAAAUGUUGUUUUGUGCAAUUCAGGUGGACUGAAAGAAAAACUAUUAAUAAUAU
ensembl:lncRNA